GAUGAACGCUGGCGGCGUGCUUAACACAUGCAAGUCGAACGGAAAGGCUCCUGCUUGCAGGGGUACUCGAGUGGCGAACGGGUGAGUAACACGUGGGUGAUCUGCCCUGCACUUCGGGAUAAGCCUGGGAAACUGGGUCUAAUACCGGAUAGGACGAUGGUUUGGAUGCCAUUGUGGAAAGUUUUUCGGUGUGGGAUGAGCUCGCGGCCUAUCAGCUUGUUGGUGGGGUAAUGGCCUACCAAGGCGUCGACGGGUAGCCGGCCUGAGAAGGUGUACGGCCACAUUGGGACUGGGAUACGGCCCAGACUCGUACGGGAGGCAGCGGUGGGGAAGAUUGCACAAUGGGCGCAAGCCUGGUGCAGCGACGCCGCGUGGGGGAUGACGGCCUUCGGGUUGUAAACUCCUUUCGCUAGGGACGAAGCGCAAGUGACGGUACCUGGAGAAGAAGCACCGGCUAACUACGUG
rnacentral:rRNA from 1 species